rnacentral:rRNA from 1 species
UACAGAGGGGGCAAGCGUUGUUCGGAAUUACUGGGCGUAAAGGGCGCGUAGGCGGCCUGCUAAGUCGAACGUGAAAUCCCCGGGCUCAACCCGGGAACUGCGUCCGAUACUGGCAGGCUUGAAUCCGGGAGAGGGAUGCGGAAUUCCAGGUGUAGCGGUGAAAUGCGUAGAUAUCUGGAGGAACACCGGUGGCGAAGGCGGCAUCCUGGACCGGCAUUGACACUGAGGCGCGAAAGCGUGGGGAGCAAACAGG